GUAAAAGCUUUUAGUGGAUACCUAGGCACCCAGAGACGACGAAGGGCGUAGCGGUAAAGGACGAAAUGCUUCGGGGAGUUUAAACUAAGCAUUGAUCCGUAGAUUCCCGAAUAGGGAAACCUUUUUAACUAUAUGCUGAAUUAAUGGGCAUAAAAGAGAUAACUUAGCGAACUGAAACAUCUUAGUAGCUGAAGGAAAAUAAAGCAAUAAGCGAUUUCCGAAGUAGUGGUGAGCGAAAUGGAAGUAGCCUAAACCGUCAAAGGGGUUGUGGGGGAGCAACCAAAAAAUUUAAAUAUUUAAGCGAAGCAGCGGAGUACUGUACCAUAGAUGGUGAGAGUCCAGUAGAAUAAUAUCUAAUUAACUUCAGCUCUAACCCAAGUAGCAUGGGAUAAGUUCAAAUACCGUGCGAAUCCGCAAGGACCACCUUGCAAGGCUAAAUACUCUUUGGGUGACCAAUAGCAAAGUAAGUACCGUGAGGGAAAGGUGAAAAGAGCCCUCUUUUAGGGGAGUGAAAUAGAGCAUGAAACUGCAAGCUUUCAAGCAGUGGGAGGAAUUUAUUAUAUCUGACCGCGUGCCUUUUGAAGAAUGAGCCGACGACUCAUAUGCAGUGGCUUGGUUAAGGUAAAAUAACCGUAUCCGUAGCAAAAGCGAGUCUUAAAAGGGCAACAAUUGUCAUUGUUUAUGGACCCGAACCUGGGUGAUCUAUCUAUGACCAGGAUGAAUCCUGGUUAAAACUAAGUUGAGGUCCAAAUCAACUGAUGUUGAAAAAUCAGUGGAUGAGUUAUGGUUAGGGGUGUAAUGCCACUCGAACCCAAAGCUAGUUGGUUCUCCCCGAAAUGCGUUGAGGACAGCAGUUGACUGUAUAUCUAGGGAUAAAGCAUUGUUUCAAUUGGGGCCACAUAAUAGUGUUGCCACAUCUAGACAAACUCUGAAUACUAGAUAUUUAUACAAAAGAUUAAUUGAUUAAGGUCAACUAGUGAGAUAGUAAGGGAUAGGCUUCAUUGUCAAAAGGGAAACAACCCAGAUCACCAGAUAAGGCCCCUAAAUGACUGCUCAGUGAUAAAGGAAGUGGGAGUGCAUAGAUAACCAGAAGCGAUCUGCCGAAGCUGUGAGAUUUUUUAAAGUUUUAUAUCUUAUUAGAUCUUGAACGUAAUAUAAAAAUUAUCAGUAGGGGAGCGUUCCGCCUUAGAGAGAAAUACCUCGCUUAAGCAGGUGGUAGACGAAGCGGAAGUGAGAAUGUCAGCUUGAGUAACGAAAACAUUGGUGAGAAUCCAAUGCCCCGAAAACCUAAGGGUUCCUCCAUAAAGGUCGUCUAGGGAGGGUUAGUCAGGGCCUAAGAUCAUGUCAAAAGGCACAAUCGGUGGCUAACAGGUAAAUAUUCAUGUAUUAUCCUUUUUGUUAUUGAGGGACGGAGGAGGCUAGGUUAUCCAAAAAUUAUGGUUAUUGGUUUAAAGGGUAAGGAUAAAUUCAUUAAAUAUGGGUCAUAAGGGGUAGAGUAAAUAUCUCGAACUAAUACCUGAAUAAUAAGUGCUAUUUUGUUCUUAAGGCUUAAGUAACUAAUGUCAUACUCCCAGGAAAAGCUCUAAAUAUAUUAAACAAGAAAGGAACCUGUACCCAAAACCAACACAGGUAGGUAGGUUGAGAAUACCUAGGGGCGCGAGACAACUCUCUCUAAGGAACUCGGCAAAAUAGCCCCGUAACUUCGGGAUAAGGGGUGCCUCUUAAAUAUAAGAGGUCGCAGCGGCCAGGCCCGGGCGACUGUUUACCAAAAACACAGGUCUCCGCAAAGUCGUAAAGACCAUGUAUGGGGGCUGACGCCUGCCCAGUGCCGGAAGGUUAAAGAAGUUAGUGGUCGUGAUUUACAACAGGGUAGCUGACAACCUAAGCCCCGGUGAACGGCGGCCGUAACUAUAACGGUCCUAAGGUAGCGAAAUUCCUUGUCGGGUAAGUUCCGACCCGCACGAAUGGCGUAACGAUCUGGGCGCUGUCUCGGAGAGGGACUCGGUGAAAUAGACCUGUCUGUGAAGAUGCGGACUACCUGUACCUGGACAGAAAGACCCUAUGAAGCUUUACUGUUCCCUAGGAUUGGUUUUAAGCUUUUCUUGCGCAGAUUAGGUGGAAGGCGACAAAAAUACUUCUUAUGGGAAGGAUCGAGCCAUUAUUGAGAUACCACUCUAGAAGAGCUAGAUUCCUAACCUUGUGUCAUAAAUUAUGGCCGAGGGACAUUCUCAGGUAGACAGUUUAUAUGGGGCGUAGGCCUCCUAAAAAGUAACGGAGGCGCGCAAAGGUUUCUUUGAGCCAGACGGGAAUUGGCUUUAUACGUGUAAGGGCAUAAAGAAGCUUGACUGCAAGACCCACUUGUCAAGCAGGGACGAAAGUCGGCCUUAGUGAUCCGACGGUGCCGAGUGGUAGGGCUGUCGCUCAACGGAUAAAAGUUACUCUAGGGAUAACAGGCUGAUCUUCCCCAAGAGUUCACAUCGACGGGAAGGUUUGGCACCUCGAUGUCGGCUCGUCGCCACCUGGGGCUGUAGUAGGUUCCAAGGGUUGGGUUGUUCGCCCAUUAAAGCGGUACGUGAGCUGGGUUCAGAACGUCGUGAGACAGUUCGGUCCAUAUCCGGUAUAGGCGUUAGAGCAUUGAGAGGACUUUUCCCUAGUACGAGAGGACCGGGAAGAACGCACCUCUGGUGUACCAGUUAUUGUGCCAUCAGUAAACGCUGGGUAGUCAAGUGCGGAGUGGAUAACUGCUGAAAGCAUCUAAGUAGGAAGCCCACCACAGGAUGAUUGCUCUCUUAUUUUGUCUGUUGCUUACUUUACUUUAUUAACUUAAUUGAUAAUUAUUGAUAAUUUAAGCCCAAUAUAAGGUCGCGGCGAGAUUAGCCGUUUUUAUUAUUAGUAGUUAUAUUAAUAUUAAUAAUAGGUGUUAGGUGUAAGUGCAAUGAUGUAUGUAGCUGAAGCAUCCUAAAAAAUAAAGUAAAAAAA
rnacentral:rRNA from 1 species